rnacentral:rRNA from 1 species
CAGUCGAACGCGUCUCCGUUAAUGAUUUUAGGUGCUUGCACUUGAAAGAUUUAACAUUGAGACGAGUGGCGAACUGGUGAGUAACACGUGGGUAACCUGCCCUUGAAGUAGGGGAUAACACUUGGAAACAGGUGCUAAUACCGUAUAACAACCAAAGCCACCUGGUUUUGGUUUAAAAGACGGCUUCGGCUGUCACUUUAGGAUGGACCCGCGGCGUAUUAGCUUGUUGGUAAGGUAACGGCCUACCAAGGCGAUGAUACGUAGCCGACCUGAGAGGGUAAUCGGCCACAUUGGGACUGAGACACGGCCCAAACUCCUACGGGAGGCAGCAGUAGGGAAUCUUCCACAAUGGACGAAAGUCUGAUGGAGCAACGCCGCGUGAGUGAUGAAGGGUUUCGGCUCGUAAAACUCUGUUGUUGGAGAAGAACAGGUGUCAGAGUAACUGUUGACAUCUUGACGGUAUCCAACCAGAAAGCCACGGCUAACUACGUGCCAGCAGCCGCGGUAAUACGUAGGUGGCAAGCGUUGUCCGGAUUUAUUGGGCGUAAAGCGAGCGCAGGCGGUUUUUUAGGUCUGAUGUGAAAGCCUUCGGCUUAACCGGAGAAGUGCAUCGGAAACCGGGAGACUUGAGUGCAGAAGAGGACAGUGGAACUCCAUGUGUAGCGGUGAAAUGCGUAGAUAUAUGGAAGAACACCAGUGGCGAAGGCGGCUGUCUGGUCUGUAACUGACGCUGAGGCUCGAAAGCAUGGGUAGCGAACAGGAUUAGAUACCCUGGUAGUCCAUGCCGUAAACGAUGAGUGCUAAGUGUUGGAGGGUUUCCGCCCUUCAGUGCUGCAGCUAACGCAUUAAGCACUCCGCCUGGGGAGUACGACCGCAAGGUUGAAACUCAAAGGAAUUGACGGGGGCCCGCACAAGCGGUGGAGCAUGUGGUUUAA